rnacentral:rRNA from 1 species
UGGGGAAUAUUGCACAAUGGAGGGAACUCUGAUGCAGCGACGCCGCGUGAACGAAGAAGGCUUUCGAGUCGUAAAGUUCUUUUAUAUGGGAAGAUAAUGACGGUACCAUAAGAAAAAGCCCCGGCUAACUACGUGCCAGCAGCCGCGGUAAUACGUAGGGGGCUAGCGUUGUCCGGAAUCACUGGGCGUAAAGGGUUCGCAGGCGGAAAUGCAAGUCAGGUGUAAAAGGCAGUAGCUUAACUACUGUAAGCAUUUGAAACUGCAUAUCUUGAGAAAAGUAGAGGUAAGUGGAAUUUUUAGUGUAGCGGUGAAAUGAGUAGAUAUUAAAAAGAAUACCGGUGGCGAAGGCAGCUUACUGGGCUCAUUCUGACGCUGAGGAACGAAAGCGUGAGUAGCAAACAGG